rnacentral:rRNA from 1 species
GACAGAGGUGGCAAGCGUUGUUCGGAUUUACUGGGCGUAAAGAGCGCGCAGGCGGUCGUUCAAGUCGCGUGUGAAAGCCCCCGGCUCAACUGGGGAGGGUCACGCGAUACUGAUCGACUCGAAGGCAGGAGAGGGUAGUGGAAUUCCCGGUGUAGUGGUGAAAUGCGUAGAUAUCCGGAGGAACACCGGUGGCGAAGGCGGCUUCCUGGACCGAUUACUGACGCUGAGGCGCGAAAGCUAGGGGAGCAAACGGG